AACGAACGCUGGCGGCAGGCUUAACACAUGCAAGUCGAACGCAUCGCAAGAUGAGUGGCAGACGGGUGAGUAACGCGUGGGAACAUAACCUUUUCUACGGAAUAGCUCUGGGAAACUGGAAUUAAUACCGUAUACGCCUUACGGGGGAAAGAUUUAUCGGGGAAGGAGUGGCCCGCGUUGGAUUAGCUAGUUGGUGGGGUAAAGGCCUACCAAGGCGACGAUCCAUAGCUGGUCUGAGAGGAUGAUCAGCCACAUUGGGACUGAGACACGGCCCAAACUCCUACGGGAGGCAGCAGUGGGGAAUAUUGGACAAUGGGCGCAAGCCUGAUCCAGCCAUGCCGCGUGAGUGAUGAAGGCCUUAGGGUUGUAAAGCUCUUUCACCGAUGAAGAUAAUGACGGUAGUCGGAGAAGAAGCCCCGGCUAACUUCGUGCCAGCCGCCGCCGUAA
rnacentral:rRNA from 1 species